rnacentral:rRNA from 1 species
AUAAGUUAUGUAAGGGCGUAUGGGGGAUGCCUAGGCUCUCAGAGGCGAAGAAGGACGUGAUAAGCUGCGAAAAGUUGCGGGGAUUGGCACAUACGAGGUGAUCCGCAAAUAUCCGAAUGGGGCAACCCAGUAUACUGAAGGUAUACUACAUCGUAAGAUGAGCAAACCCGCUGAACUGAAACAUCUAAGUAGGCGGAGGAGAAGAAAACAAAAGUGAUUCCCAAAGUAGUGGCGAGCGAAAUGGGAACAGCCCAAACCCGUAUUGUUACGGCAAUAUGGGGGUAGUAGGACCCAGAUAUAGGUUGUAAAGCUGGAUUAGAAGUGUUUGGAAAGACACACCAUAGAGAGUGAAAGUCUCGUAUAGGCACAGUUUUAUAAAUCUUAUGGGAAUCCUGAGUAGGUCGGGGCACGAGGAACCUUGACUGAAUCAGCCGGGACCAUCCGGUAAGGCUAAAUACUCCUGAGAGACCGAUAGUGGACGAGUACCGUGAGGGAAAGGUGAAAAGCACCGUGAAUAACGGAGUGAAAGAGACCCUGAAACCAUACGCUUACAAGCGGUCGGAGCGGAAAUAUCCGUGACGGCGUGCCUUUUGCAUAAUGAGCCUACGAGUUACUGUUACUGGCAAGGAUAAGCACUUAAGGUGCGCAUUCGAAGCGAAAGCGAGUCUGAAAAGGGCGCUGUAGUCAGUAGGAGUAGACGCGAAACCUGGUGAUCUACCCUUGGGCAGGUUGAAGCACUGGUAACACAGUGUGGAGGACCGAACUGGUUGUCGUUGAAAAGACUUCGGAUGACCUGAGGGUAGGGGUGAAAGGCCAAUCAAACUGGGAAAUAGCUCGUACUCCCCGAAAUGCAUUUAGGUGCAGCGUUGAAGUGAGUUUAAUAGAGGUAGAGCUACUGAUUGGAUGCGGGGGUUUCAUCGCCUACCAAUUCCUGACAAACUCCGAAUGCUAUUAAAUGCUCAUCAGCAGUGAGGGUAUGGGUGCUAAGGUCCAUAUCCGAGAGGGAAAGAACCCGGACCAUCAGCUAAGGUCCCCAAAUAUAUGCUAAGUUGACCAAACGCGGUCUGACUGCACUGACAGCUAGGAUGUUGGCUUGGAAGCAGCCAUACAUUUAAAGAGUGCGUAACAGCUCACUAGUCGAGCGGUUGGGCAUGGAUAAUAAACGGGCAUAAGCAUAUUACCGAAGCUAUGGGGUUAUUACUAAGUAAUAUACCGGUAGGGGAGCAUUCUAUUGGCGUGGAAGCUAAAGGCGUGAGCCAUAGUGGAGCCUGAUAGAAAAGAAAAUGUAGGCAUAAGUAACGAUAAGGCAGGCGAGAAACCUGCCCGCCGAAAGAUCAAGGUUUCCUCAGCUAUGCUAAUCAGCUGAGGGUUAGUCGGGGACUAACGCGCACCCGAGCAGGGGAAGUGGAUGUACAACAGGUUAAUAUUCCUGUACCAUUAAUCUGAUAAAAGUGACGGAACGAGAUAACUACCGCGUACUGACGGAAUAGUACGUUAAAGGAGCAGUUAUAGCUUUGAUAGUACACUGAAGCUUCGGCCGAGGUGAUAGAGUGGUGACAACGUUUCCAAGAAAAGCGAAGAUUAAUGCCCGUACCGUAAACCGACACAGGUGAUUGGGAUGAGAAUUCUAAGGCGCUCGAGAGAUUCAUGGCUAAGGAACUAGGCAAAAUAGACCUGUAACUUCGGGAGAAAGGUCGCCUAUCGUAAGAUAGGCCGCAGUGAAGAGGUCCAAGCGACUGUUUAUCAAAAACACAGGACUCUGCAAAAUCGAAAGAUGAGGUAUAGGGUCUGACACCUGCCCGGUGCUGGAAGGUUAAGAGGAGAGCUUAGCGUAAGCGAAGGUUUGAAUUGAAGCCCCAGUAAACGGCGGCCGUAACUAUAACGGUCCUAAGGUAGCGAAAUUCCUUGUCGGGUAAGUUCCGACCUGCACGAAUGGUG